rnacentral:rRNA from 1 species
AGUGAACGCUGGCGGUAGGCCUAACACAUGCAAGUCGAACGGCAGCACAGUAAGAGCUUGCUCUUACGGGUGGCGAGUGGCGGACGGGUGAGGAAUACAUCGGAAUCUACUUUUUCGUGGGGGAUAACGUAGGGAAACUUACGCUAAUACCGCGUACGACCUACGGGUGAAAGCAGGGGAUCUUCGGACCUUGCGCGAUUGAAUGAGCCGAUGUCGGAUUAGCUAGUUGGCGGGGUAAAGGCCCACCAAGGCGACGAUCCGUAGCUGGUCUGAGAGGAUGAUCAGCCACACUGGAAAUGAGACACGGUCCAGACUCCUACGGGAGGCAGCAGUGGGGAAUAUUGGACAAGGGGCGCAAGCCUGAUCCAGCCAUACCGCGUGGGUGAAGAAGGACUUCGGGUUGUAAAGCCCUUUUGUUGGGAAAGAAAAGCAGCAGGUUAAUACCCCGCUGUUCUGACGGUACCCAAAGAAUAAGCACCGGCUAACUUCGUG